rnacentral:rRNA from 1 species
AUUGAAUGCUGGCGGCAUGCCUUGCACACGCAAGUCGAACGGUAACAGGUCUUCGGAUGCUGACGAGUGGCGAACGGGUGAGUAAUACAUCGGAACGUGCCCGAGAGUGGGGGAUAACGAGGCGAAAGCUUUGCUAAUACCGCAUACGAUCUCAGGAUGAAAGCAGGAGACCGCAAGGCCUUGCGCUCACGGAGCGGCCGAUGGCAGAUUAGGUAGUUGGUGGGAUAAAAGCUUACCAAGCCGACGAUCUGUAGCUGGUCUGAGAGGACGACCAGCCACGCUGGGACUGAGACACGGCCCAGACUCCUACGGAGGCAGCAGUGGGGAAUUUUGGACAAUGGGCGCAAGCCUGAUCCAGCCAUGCCGCGUGCAGGAUGAAGGCCUUCGGGUUGUAAACUGCUUUUGUACGGAACGAAAAGACUCUGGUUAAUACCUGGGGUCCAUGACGGUACCGUAAGAAUAAGCACCGGCUAACUACGUGCCAGCCGCCGCCGUAAGAC